UACGAAGGGUGCAAACGUUGCUCGGAAUCAUUGGGCGUAAAGCGCACGUAGGCGGCCUGUUAAGUCGGAUGUGAAAUCCCUCGGCUCAACCGAGGACGUGCAUUCGAAACUGGCAGGCUCGAGUAUGGAAGAGGGUCGCGGAAUUCCCGGUGUAGAGGUGAAAUUCGUAGAUAUCGGGAGGAACACCAGUGGCGAAGGCGGUUACCCGGAGCUUUGCUGACGCUGAUGCGCGAAAGCGUGGGGAGCGAUCCGG
rnacentral:rRNA from 1 species